UACGUAGGGUGCGAGCGUUAAUCGGAAUUACUGGGCGUAAAGUGUGCGCAGGCGGCAGAGCAAGUCGAGUGUGAAAGCCCCGGGCUUAACCUGGGAACUGCGUUCUAACUGGCAGGCUUGAGUGUGGCAGAGGGGGGUGGAAUUCCGACGUGUAGCAGUGAAAUGCGUAGAGAUGAUGGAGGAACACCGAUGGCGAAGGCAGCCCCCCUGGGCUAACACUGACGCUCAUGCACGAAAGCGUGGGGAGCAAACAGG
rnacentral:rRNA from 1 species